rnacentral:rRNA from 1 species
GUGCAAGCGUUACUCGGAAUCACUGGGCGUAAAGGGCGCGUAGGCGGAUUAUCAAGUCUCUUGUGAAAUCUAAUGGCUUAACCAUUAAACUGCUUGGGAAACUGAUAGUCUAGAGUGAGGGAGAGGCAGAUGGAAUUGGUGGUGUAGGGGUAAAAUCCGUAGAUAUCACCAAGAAUACCCAUUGCGAAGGCGAUCUGCUGGAACUCAACUGACGCUAAGGCGCGAAAGCGUGGGGAGCAAACAGGAUUAGAUACCCUGGUAGUCCACGCCCUAAACGAUGUACACUAGUUGUUGGGGUGCUAGUCAUCUCAGUAAUGCAGCUAACGCAUUAAGUGUACCGCCUGGGGAGUACGGUCGCAAGAUUAAAACUCAAAGGAAUAGACGGGGACCCGCACAAGCGGUGGAGCAUGUGGUUUAAUUCGAAGAUACGCGAAGAACCUUACCUGGGCUUGAUAUCCUAAGAACCUUUUAGAGAUAAGAGGGUGCUAGCUUGCUAGAACUUAGAGACAGGUGCUGCACGGCUGUCGUCAGCUCGUGUCGUGAGAUGUUGGGUUAAGUCCCGCAACGAGCGCAACCCACGUAUUUAGUUGCUAACGGUUCGGCCGAGCACUCUAAAUAGACUGCCUUCGUAAGGAGGAGGAAGGUGUGGACGACGUCAAGUCAUCAUGGCCCUUAUGCCCAGGGCGACACACGUGCUACAAUGGCAUAUACAAUGAGACGCAAUACCGCGAGGUGGAGCAAAUCUAUAAAAUAUGUCCCAGUUCGGAUUGUUCUCUGCAACUCGAGAGCAUGAAGCCGGAAUCGCUAGUAAUCGUAGAUCAGCCAUGCUACGGUGAAUACGUUCCCGGGUCUUGUACUCACCGCCCGUCACACCAUGGGAGUUGAUUUCACUCGAAGCCGGAAUACUAAACUAGUUACCGUCCACAGUGGAAUCAGCGACUGGGGUGAAGUCGUAACAAGGUAACCGUAGGAGAACCUGCGGUUGGAUCACCUCCUUU